rnacentral:lncRNA from 1 species
AAAGCGAAGUUGGAUUUGACAGCCAAUGCAACCAUUUCCUCAUCUUGUAAAGGAUGAGUGAGCUAACUCAAGGGCAAAGCGAAGUGGAGUUGACCAGGUUGAAACUCCUCGUCUUCCUAGAUGGCGGAUACGACGACGUCCAAGUCCAUUUCACCAGUCUUGUAGAUGAAACACAAGGGAUUCUUUUAAAAAAAUGCAAUAAGCCUUGACUGGGCAAGGAUACUCUUGUAACCACUCAUCUUCGAGAACCAACUUGGCAAUUGCUUUUGAGUUUUUCGUUUCUAACAUUUGGUUAUUAAGGAAUAAGGAUGGAUUUGAAUCUGUUUAGAUGAGAUUUUGGGGGGUUCUUAACUUAAUUUUGCUAGAUCAGAAGUUUGGAGAAUCUGAGUCUUUGUUGUUUGGCAUAUUUGUAUUAUAUUACUG